UUUUUUCUGUUGUUCUCUGUUGUUUCCUGUUGUUUUCUGUUCUAUUCUGUUCUAUUCUGUUGUAUUUUAAUGUAUUCUGUUCUAUUCCGUUGUUUUUCUGUUGUUUCCUGUUGUUUCUUGUUGUUUUUCUGUUGUUUCCUGUUUUUUCUGUUGUUUUCUGUUGUUUCCUGCUGUUUUCUGUUCUAUUCUGUUGUAUUCUGUUGUAUUUUAAUGUAUUAUGUUCUAUUCCAUUGUUUUUUGUUGUAUUCUGUUGUAUUCUGUUGUAUUUUAAUGUAUUAUGUUCUAUUCCGUUGUUUUUUGUUGUAUUCUGUUGUAUUCUGUUGUAUUUUAAUGUAUUAUGUUCUAUUCCGUUGUUUUUUGUUGUAUUCUGUUGUAUUUUAAUGUAUUCUGUUGUCUAUUCUGUUGUAUUCCAGUGGUGUAUCAGAAUUGGUGUACGUUUAGAAAUAAGGGACGUUUAUGCAUUUUUUUCAUUGACUUGGAAAAAACACAAACGUUUGCUUAAUUAUGGACGAACGGCUUCGAGUUGCCUCGUGCAAUAUCAGAAACCACUACAUGCUUGAGAUGCCCCGUUAACACCUCGCCCCGCCCCCACCUUCCUGGCCUGCCCGCCCCCUGGCAUAAAUUGUUUCCAGAAACCCCUAAAUGACCGACUCUUCCAUGCCUGAGAUGACCCGCCCUGCCCUGCGUCAUGACCUCCCGGCAUACAUUGGCCAAGCAGUGCAGAGGAGAAGGAGGAGGAGGAGAAGAAGGAGGAAGAAGAAGAGGAGGAUCUACCAAGGACAACCUCUGCUGCUCCGGGUAUCAACUCCUGCACUCCUGGGACUGGCAUAACAUCUGCAUGCCCUUGUAACAACUCACUCUGCUUCUGCUAUUCAUAACACCCCGUUCUGCGUCUGCUGUCGUAACAGGGCAUGGCUUCUGUAUACUAACUCCUGCUCGCAUAACCCGCAUGGAUUUACACUUCUCUCUGCUUCUGGCUUUCGUACCUAUCAACACAUUCUGCGCCUUCCUUCGUAACUAAUCCCACGGCUUCUCUGCAUGACAACUCCAGCUGCUUAUGGCAAAAUUUCGCAUAACAGCU